rnacentral:rRNA from 1 species
GACAGAGGUGCCGAGCGUUAGGCGGAAUCACUGGGCUUAAAGCGUGUGUAGGCGGAUCUGUAAGUACCUUGUGAAAUCCCACGGCUCAACCGUGGAACUGCUUGGUAUACUGCGGGUCUUGAGCCACCUAGGGGCAAGUGGAACAAACGGUGGAGCGGUGAAAUGCGUAGAUAUCGGUUGGAACGCCAAUGGUGAAAACAACUUGCUGGGGGUGUGCUGACGCUGAGACACGAAAGCCAGGGGAGCAAACGGG